rnacentral:rRNA from 1 species
AAUAAGGAUCGGCUAACUCCGUGCCAGCAGCCGCGGUAAUACGGAGGAUCCGAGCGUUAUCCGGAUUUAUUGGGUUUAAAGGGUGCGUAGGCGGCCUUUUAAGUCAGCGGUGAAAGUCUGUGGCUCAACCAUAGAAUUGCCGUUGAAACUGGGGGGCUUGAGUAUGUUUGAGGCAGGCGGAAUGCGUGGUGUAGCGGUGAAAUGCAUAGAUAUCACGCAGAACCCCGAUUGCGAAGGCAGCCUGCCAAGCCAUUACUGACGCUGAUGCACGAAAGCGUGGGGAUCAAACAGGAUUAGAUACCCUGGUAGUCCACGCAGUAAACGAUGAUCACUAGCUGUUUGCGAUACACUGUAAGCGGCACAGCGAAAGCGUUAAGUGAUCCACCUGGGGAGUACGCCGGCAACGGUGAAACUCAAAGGAAUUGACGGGGGCCCGCACAAGCGGAGGAACAUGUGGUUUAAUUCGAUGAUACGCGAGGAACCUUACCCGGGUUUGAACGCAUUCGGACCGAGGUGGAAACACCUUUUCUAGCAAUAGCCGUUUGCGAGGUGCUGCAUGGUUGUCGUCAGCUCGUGCCGUGAGGUGUCGGCUUAAGUGCCAUAACGAGCGCAACCCUUGCCACUAGUUACUAACAGGUAAAGCUGAGGACUCUGGUGGGACUGCCAGCGUAAGCUGCGAGGAAGGCGGGGAUGACGUCAAAUCAGCACGGCCCUUACAUCCGGGGCGACACACGUGUUACAAUGGCGUGGACAAAGGGAGGCCACCUGGUGACAGGGAGCGAAUCCCCAAACCACGUCUCAGUUCGGAUCGGAGUCUGCAACCCGACUCCGUGAAGCUGGAUUCGCUAGUAAUCGCGCAUCAGCCAUGGCGCGGUGAAUACGUUCCCGGGCCUUGUACACACCGCCCGUCAAGCCAUGGGAGCCGGGGGUACCUGAAGUCCGUAACCGCGAGGAUCGGCCUAGGGUAAAACUGGUGACUGGGGCUAAGUCGUAACAAGGUAGCCGUACCGGAAGGUGCGGCUG